GCUUAAACAUGCAAGUCGAACGAUGAAGCCCAGCUUGCUGGGUGGAUUAGUGGCGAACGGGUGAGUAACACGUGAGUAACCUGCCCUUAACUCUGGGAUAAGCCUGGGAAACUGGGUCUAAUACCGGAUAGGAGCGUCCACCGCAUGGUGGGUGUUGGAAAGAUUUAUCGGUUUUGGAUGGACUCGCGGCCUAUCAGCUUGUUGGUGAGGUAAUGGCUCACCAAGGCGACGACGGGUAGCCGGCCUGAGAGGGUGACCGGCCACACUGGGACUGAGACACGGCCCAGACUCCUACGGGAGGCAGCAGUGGGGAAUAUUGCACAAUGGGCGAAAGCCUGAUGCAGCGACGCCGCGUGAGGGAUGACGGCCUUCGGGUUGUAAACCUCUUUCAGUAGGGAAGAAGCGAAAGUGACGGUACCUGCAGAAGAAGCACCGGCUAACUACGUGCCAGCAGCCGCGGUAAUACGUAGGGUGCGAGCGUUAUCCGGAAUUAUUGGGCGUAAAGAGCUCGUAGGCGGUUUGUCGCGUCUGUCGUGAAAGUCCGGGGCUUAACCCCGGAUCUGCGGUGGGUACGGGCAGACUAGAGUGCAGUAGGGGAGACUGGAAUUCCUGGUGUAGCGGUGGAAUGCGCAGAUAUCAGGAGGAACACCGAUGGCGAAGGCAGGUCUCUGGGCUGUAACUGACGCUGAGGAGCGAAAGCAUGGGGAGCGAACAGGAUUAGAUACCCUGGUAGUCCAUGCCGUAAACGUUGGGCACUAGGUGUGGGGACCAUUCCACGGUUUCCGCGCCGCAGCUAACGCAUUAAGUGCCCCGCCUGGGGAGUACGGCCGCAAGGCUAAAACUCAAAGGAAUUGACGGGGCCCGCACAAGCGGCGGAGCAUGCGGAUUAAUUCGAUGCAACGCGAAGAACCUUACCAAGGCUUGACAUGUUCUCGAUCGCCGUAGAGAUACGGUUUCUCCUUUGGGGCGGGUUCACAGUGGUGCAUGGUUGUCGUCAGCUCGUGUCGUGAGAUGUUGGGUUAAGUCCCGCACG
rnacentral:rRNA from 2 species